rnacentral:lncRNA from 1 species
UGUUUCUCAGAUGUAGCCAGCUGAGUGUGUAAAAGUCUUAGCUUCAGGUUACCCUGUCUGUCAACUGCGAUAUGGUAAUGAGAGUUAAAUUACACACACACACACCUCUCCUUGCCAAAAUAAAAAAAUGGACGGCGAGGCUAGCAAAUGGGGGUUGACUCAUUCUAAACGUGAGCAUUUAAACUUUAUGUAAUCUAGAGUUCUAAUCCUUGAAAGUAGAGGCUUUUGGUGAUUCCUGCUCUCCGACACCACAAAGAUUUUGCCAUCCUGCUAGAAUUUCUUCCUUGUUUGUCAGGACAUCUGAGGUCAUUGUUUCCGGUUUAUUUUCAGAACACUCAGUAUCAAGUUCUGUUGUGUCCUUUGGGGGAAGACUGCCUGAGAAACCUCUCAAAUAUUUUGUAAAUAGACUGCUUUUUGCUUUUAGUUAGUAUAGUGAACACUUACCUGAUAUAAAAUUGUCCCUUUACCUAUUCUCCCAAGGAGUUACAGCCUCAAAAGAGAGAAAAGACAAUUUAAAAAAUAUGACUUAUAAUCGGUCAGGGAAGUGCUUCUUUAAAAAUAUACUGCCUUUGGGAGAAAUGAACAUGUAGAAUUGAGUUAAUGUUGAUUCAGACUCUAAGUUGUGUCCUUAUCUUAAGCACAUUUCGAGGACAAAUAGUGCAGUUUGUAAUCUUCAUAUUUCCCCCCAAA